GAUGAAGAACGUAGCGAAAUGCGAUACGUAAUGUGAAUUGCAGAAUUCAGUGAAUCAUCGAGUCUUUGAACGCACAUUGCGCCCUCUGGUAUUCCGGAGGGCAUGCCUGUCCGAGCGUCAUUGCUGCCCUCAAGCACGGCUUGUGUGUUGGGCCCCGCCCCCCGAUCCCGGGGGGCGGGCCCGAAAGGCAGCGGCGGCACCGCGUCCGGUCCUCGAGCGUAUGGGGCUUUGUCACCCGCUCUGUAGGCCCGGCCGGCGCCUGCCGAUCAACCAAACUUUUUUCCAGGUUGACCUCGGAUCAGGUAGGGAUAACCGCUGAACUUAAGCAUAUCAAUAAGCGGAGGA
rnacentral:misc_RNA from 1 species